AGUUGGGGGUCCGGUCGGCCACGCCACCUACGCCGGGACGGCUGCCUCCGCGGCGCGACGCUCCCACGGACUUAGCUGGGAUGCAGAAUAGAAGCUGGGCCUUUGUCUGACUACCCUGCAACAGUCAGCCACAGACGGGAAGGCAGCGCAGGAAACUGAGGCCAAAGGAGCCGCGCUUCCUCAUGAGCAUGAAGCGGCAAAGCCUGAACUAGAAGCUUCUAACGCCUAACCGUCCUCUUGCCGCACCAGGACCUACCUCUGCAAGGCCCUUCCUGACUUUUUCCUUAGAAUGUGUGUAUAUGUGUCUUUUUCCUUUUCUGAUGCUAAGACACCUCAGAAACACCAAUGUUAAGCAGAUUUCCAUCGUUGGAGGUUAAAACACCCGAAUACAAGUGUUUUCUUGAGUGUGGCAUCUGGUCAGAUGUUUUAUGGGUUGGUUUGUUUUUAAAAAAAAAAAAUUUCCUGUUAGAUGGGUGGUAAGAACCAGUCAGAGUUUGUAAACCCACCAAGCACGAGGCGGUCGGACCGUCCAGAUUCUGGAGUCCAGAAGACACCAAACGUUCUCAGAAUGCCGAACGCGGGCGCCACCUGGUGGGACUAGAACGCUUAUUGUCCCAAAUCAGCAUAGCACACAGUUCCCAUAAAUCUUAAAAAUUCCCAUCCAAGGCUCAUUUCCGUGUGACUAAAAGUCAUAUUCUCUGUUCUCGUGACUCCAAGUAAAAAUGUCCCUAAAGAGCCAAAGUAUCUUCACUGUAUAAACUAAUAAUCUAUUGGUUUGGGGAAUUUUAUUUUUUGUGAUCAAUGUUACUUUAGCCUUUCUAUGAUAUACAUAUAAAUAAAAAAGUUUUCUUCCAUGA
rnacentral:lncRNA from 1 species